rnacentral:rRNA from 1 species
AUUGAACGCUGGCGGCGUGCUUAACACAUGCAAGUCGAGCGGAAAGGCCACUUCGGUGGUGCUCGAGCGGCGAACGGGUGAGUAACACGUGAGUAAUCUGCCCCUGGCUUUGGGAUAGCCACCGGAAACGGUGAUUAAUACCGGAUACGACCACUUCUCGCAUGGGAUGGUGGUGGAAAGUUUUUCGGCCAGGGAUGUGCUCGCGGCCUAUCAGCUUGAUGGUGAGGUAAUGGCUCACCAUGGCUUCGACGGGUAGCCGGCCUGAGAGGGUGACCGGUCACACUGGGACUGAGACACGGCCCAGACUCCUACGGGAGGCAGCAGUGGGGAAUAUUGGACAAUGGGCGGAAGCCUGAUCCAGCAACGCCGCGUGAGGGAUGACGGCCUUCGGGUUGUAAACCUCUUUCAGCAGGGACGAAGCGCAAGUGACGGUACCUGCAGAAGAAGCACCGGCCAACUACGUGCCAGCAGCCACGGUAAAAC